AGGACGUCUAUGGCAACGGAAUGGACAUGGAGGAUGAGGACCGCAUCCCAGAUGAGGAUAAGGAAGAUGAUGAGAGUAGUGGAGUGCAUAUUUUGAAUUGUGAACACAACUUUGUUUGCCCUACAGCAUCUGUAAAAAAUAUCUGUUAUAAUAAUGUCUGACAUAUGUUUUAUUCAGUCUGUGAGCCUGAGACUUCAGCCAGUCCGGACAAGGAAAAUAAGUUUGUCCAGUCCCAACUGAUGAAGCUUUUCCAAGUCUGCUGGGUGUGGUGCGGUUUAGUCCAGGGACUACGUCAACAGCCAGAGGAACAGGACUCAACGUCACACAGAUCUGCAGGUUGUGCAACCAUGUGAGGGAAUGGUCCAACAAGCCAAUCUGCUGCUUUCUGCUGCCAUUUUGGUGUCUGGUUGCAUGCUGAUCAAGGUCCUCAGGAUGCUCGGAAUGAUGAUUGGCCACCAUUCACCGCAACACAUUCUUCCGUCACCAGCAUAAACACCUCUAGCCAGCAGUCCUCGUGACAUUGGAUGUUGAGCAGAGUGGCAUUGAUGAAACCCUCAAAGAAAUGGGUGGAGAUCUUGUCUUGGCAGCAGAUGGAAGGAGUGAUCGUCCUGGCCACUCUGAAGUUUGGGACAUUCACUGCUGUUGAACAGAGAAUCAACAAGAUCCUGAACAUAGAAAUUGUUAAUUGAAGUGUUUUUUUAUUUAUCUUAGAGCUCUUCACGCCACGUGGUGUGAGCUGCGGGGUUGAAGAGGACUAAACAGUUUGUUGACAGUGCUGAGCUGGUGGUUGGAACCCUCAUUACUCACCAAAACAGGCCGAUCUCUAAAUGGAUCCGGAAAAACAUGCCAGAUAGCCUACAAAGCAUCGCUUGGAUAUUUGUCUAAAUCUCUACGCAAGAAAAUCGCUGUAGCUUAAAGCCAUUAUCAACCACAUCUACUGGUCAUGUGACUCCUGAAGAAAGCAGGAAAAUGAUUCUGCCAAAAUGGAAUAUUGCACUGUACCACAUACAGAGCCAACACACUAACCACUCAUGCCUUCGGGUCCUCAUACACCACUACAAGCAGAGGAACGAAUUAACCAAGUACAACUCUAGUACCUUCAAUGGGGCUGACGAUUCUACAUGGGGCCUUGAUCCUUAAGGACAUAUCACAACUAUCCACUGACUACCAGCCAACAGGUACUCCCUCUCCUUCGCAAAGGCCAAGAAGAGUGGAUACACAAUUCAGCCAGCGAAGACCAAACCCACCUACGACUAUGCUGAUAAAAUAGUGCUUUGUCUGGAGGAAGAAUCAGAUCGCAGGAUCCUGGAAUAACCUCAAUCACUCUGUAGUCAGUUUCAGCGUCCCACAAAGGACCGGGCAGUGAGGGAGUAUAUAAGCCAUUUCAAGGCAGCUGGCACACCAUGAGCACCCUUCUUCCCACACUUUAAAUGACAUUUUAGUCAUUUGACACUCUUAUCCGUACCAACUUACAGUAUUGAGUGCAUAGAUUUCACACUUUUUCAUACUGGGAUUUUCAGAAUUCGGCCAGAAUGUAGCAGUUGAUACUAGUUGAACAGCAGGUGUGCAAUGUCUUCAUUGAUUUGUCUGGCUUUGUGGAGGGUUCUGGAUUUGUGGAGUGAGGAGAUGCUUUGGCACUUGACACUGCAGACCUUGCUCGCAAUGUUGACUGUUCUGUGAAUUGUCCUGAUGUUGUCACGUUCGUUGAAAGGAUGAGACCAAGGCGCAACGUGAGAUGAAUACAUAUUCUUAUUUAAAAACAACAAUUCAUAUUCUUAUACAAAACAACAAAACGCUAUAUAUAAGUGCAGACACAGGCAACUAACACAGACAAUA